UAAGAUUCAGAACAGAACGAAGCCACAUCCGGACGAAUUCGGAUCCCUCAAGCGUGCGCAUUUUUAGAGACACCAACGCUGCCGGUGACCUGCUGGCUGCCUUUCUCGCCUAGGACGUGGACGUGGAAGGACGUUGUGUUGUUUUGAAGUGCCUCUGUGGUGAGAAGUGUACCCUGGUGUGGGUGAGGUACCAGUUUCGGACAGCGAGCUGACAGGCGCCAGACUGCGGUGGUGAUCAGCUGACGGGAGCUUCCAGCUGAGCCUGUGAGCCAACAAGUCAAAGGUUGCUCCUCUGCCGUCUCGUGACGGACCAUCUGCCCGGCGUCAACAUCUGCAGGAGACGAGUGAGCGCACAAGAGACAAGAUAAUGGAAGACCCACUAAGCAAGCGUUCAGGAAAGCCCAACAGGGGAGAGCAAAACAACACUACAACUCCUGAGGAGAUUGAUGACAUCACUCUGCAGAUGUGAAGAGCAAGGUGCCAAGAGACAAACCUCCCUUCUAGAAGAGCCUUAGACCAUGCUGUGGGAAAAGCUGCACAGGCCAUAGAAAAAGCUGCAUGGGCACAGAAAGCACCUGCACAGGCAGAGGAAGCAGCUGCAAGAGAAGAGGCAGAAGCUAGUAGACUAAAACAAUUGUAUCUAAAAAUAAAAAGAGAAAAAUGCUUGAAAAUGUAAACAAUGAAAUAAAUGUAAGAGAGGAUGCACAUAGACUUUUGAGUGUGAAAUCUUAUUUGCAUUAUGUUUAUGCAGUUGUCAAUCCAAAAAUAUAAUUGCUGUUUUUUUACAGUAAUGCCUAUAGCACCUGUAAGCACACUUGAAGAGUGUAUGGGAAGCGCUGUUCAGCUUCUGCCCAUUAGUGGUACAGACAA